GAUGAAUGCUGGCGGCGUGCCUAACACAUGCAAGUCGAGCGGCAGCGCGGUCUUCGGACUGGCGGCGAGCGGCGGACGGCUGAGUAACGCGUGGGAACGUACCCCAAAGUGAGGAAUAACUGCCCGAAAGGGUAGCUAAUGCCGCAUAUGGUCUUCGGAUUAAAGGAUUUAUCCGCUUUGGGAACGGCCUGCGUACGAUUAGAUUGUUGGUGAGGUAAUGGCUCACCAAGUCGACGAUCGUUAACUGGUCUGAGAGGAUGAUCAGUCAGACUGGAACUGAGACACGGUCCAGACUCCUACGGGAGGCAGCAGUGAGGAAUCUUCCACAAUGGGCGAAAGCCUGAUGGAGCAACGCCGCGUGCAGGAUGAAGGCCUUCGGGUCGUAAACUGCUUUUAUAAGUGAAGAAUAUGACGGUAGCUUAUGAAUAAGCACCGGCUAACUACGUG
rnacentral:rRNA from 1 species